rnacentral:rRNA from 1 species
CCUACGGGAGGCAGCAGUGAGGAAUAUUGGUCAAUGGGCGCUAGCCUGAACCAGCCAAGUAGCGUGAAGGAUGAAUGCCCUAUGGGUUGUACACUUCUUUUAUAUGGGAAUAAAGUGCAGUAUGUAUACUGCUUUUCAUGUACCUUAUGAAUAAGACUCGGCUAACUCCGUGCCAGCAGCCGCGUUAAUACUGAGGAUUCGCGUGUUAUCCGGAUUUAUUGUGUUUAAAGGUAGCAUAGUCGGGUUGUUAAGUCAUUUGUGAAAGUUUGCGGCUCAACCGUAAAAUUGCAUUUGAUACUGGCAUCAGUGAGUACAGUAGAGGUAGGCGGAAUUCGUGGUGUAGCGGUGAAAUGCUUAGAUAUCACGAAGAACUCCGAUUGCGAAGGCAGCCUGCUGGACUGUAACUGACGCUGAUGCUCGAAAGUGUGGGUAUCAAACAGGAUUAGAUACCCGUGUAGUC